GAGUAACGCGUGAGGAACCUGCCUCAAANAGGGGGACAACAUUGGAAACGACUGCUAAUACCGCAUAAGCGCACAGCUUCGCAUGAAGCAGUGUGAAAAACUCCGGUGGUACAAGAUGGACCCGCGUCUGAUUAGCUGGUUGGUGAGGUAACGGCCCACCAAGGCGACGAUCAGUAGCCGGCCUGAGAGGGUGAACGGCCACAUUGGGACUGAGACACGGCCCAAACUCCUACGGGAGGCAGCAUG
rnacentral:rRNA from 1 species